rnacentral:rRNA from 1 species
GUGCCAGCAGCCGCGGUAAGACGAACCGUGCGAACGUUGUUCGGAAUCACUGGGCUUAAAGGGCGCGUAGGCGGGCUGCCGCGUCCGGGGUGAAAUCCCACGGCUCAACCGUGGAACUGCCUCGGAUACGGGCGGUCUCGAGGGGGGUAGGGGCACGCGGAACUGUGGGUGGAGCGGUGAAAUGCGUUGAUAUCCACAGGAACUCCGGUGGCGAAGGCGGCGUGCUGGACCCCAUCUGACGCUGAGGCGCGAAAGCCAGGGGAGCAAACGGGAUUAGAAACCCGCGUAGUCC